AUCAAUAUUUUUUCCAGACAAAUGUCAUGUUGAUUUAACUGGUAUCGUCGUACGAUGAGAACUGCUCGUCAACCAAUAUCGAUGAAAAGAAGCUCAGAGUUGUCACAGCCGUGAAUGUCAGCACGCAAACAGUGGUUCACCUUGCUGCUGGUGGGGGUGUUCAUGUAAGCUGUCUUCAUCAUUACAAGAACUGGUGUUAGAAGACCUCAGGAACAUCGUCAAUAUCGCAUUCAUACAUCAACGUUGGUGUCAUACCUUCUACUUAACAUUCGCAUACCUGCAGAGUUUGGAAGUUAAACUCUAUUUGGUCAUCCAGUCAAGGUCCGGGCCGUGAA